AGACGGAAGUUUGCUGAAUAAACUGCUGUUAGAAGGACUGGUGGUCGUGAACACCAAGCAAGAACGCUGGUUGAGAGCAGACAUGACAGAAUUAACAGCAAUAUGGCUCUGGUGAUAGUGACUCCAGAAGAGAAAAGCAUUUGGACUGGAUGCCAUUCACAGUGAAAUAUAGGAGCUACAAGAGGAAAAUAAGUACACGGAGCUGGCAGUGCUUGCAUAGUAUAGAGGCGAAUGCAUCAACACAGGUGUUCCUUUGAAGGAUUGCUUUAAAAACCGGUUUCUAUGGUAACCGCAUCCUGUCUAAGACUGAAAAGAAUUAAUGUUGACUUGAAUUGGGCUGUAUCAACUUUCAGACAAUCCACACAGAUUCCAGCAAAUAUACUCUGUGCUAAUAUUCAAGGUUCAAACCUUGUUAUCACCAUUGUGGGAUCUGCCUAAAUAUGUCCUAUCUGAGUUAAUGGGUGGGUGUUUGAGUUAAGAAUGACAACAUCCCACCCACUUUGUUCUACAUGAAGGUCAAACCCAAGUGUGUAAGGAUACACUUCCCUUACACUUACCAACAUGACUUCAGAAAACCAUGGACUUUUGCCUGUCUACAGGCAUAAACUUUUA
rnacentral:lncRNA from 1 species